CUUAUCUAGUUUAAACGCAUUGCAGUUUGGCUUUAAAAUAAUUAAAUGAAGGGUAAAUCAGAAGGUAUUAACUGCAUAAUGCCAUAAAUAAAAUUGCUAGAUAUGUUCCCAGUGAAAAUAUUCUAAUCGUGGGAAGCUCUGUUCAUGUUGCUGUUUUCGGAAUUUAAAGAACCCACGGUACGAUUAUAAAUUGUAUAUUUACAAUAUUUCAUUUCAGAGGGUGAUUGACUGUAUAAUAUAUAUAAUAACACAACAAAGCCCGGCAUGGUUACAAUUAUGUUGUAUUGUACUUAGCUUACCUACACACCAACACAGAGAAACGUAGCUAAUUAGUUUUGUAUAUGAAAACGCUGUAACACGGUUCCAAAGUAAUUAAUAUCACUGUCCAUCAAAAAUGCAUAAUUUGAAAAGAGAAAUCAUUCCUUUUUACAUAUAUUUUUGUAUACAGUAUCUAUUGUUAUACUUUUGUAUCGUAAUCAAGGGAAGGACAGUGUAACAAAACAAUUUAAACGCAACAUUAAUUUCAAAAUGGUAUUAUCCGUUUUAGGUAGAACUCUUGCUGCUCUGCCUUUAGUUUCAUGUGUUGUGUUUCAUAUAAUGUUGUCUGUCUUUGAUGUCGUUUUUCGUUUAUCGCCAUGGCGUUGCCGUAAACUUUGAUUAAUGCGUUUAAGUAUAAUUCUACUGUUUGUCGCCUCUCUUUAUUAUUUAAAGACAAGUAAUUUGUCAAAAAUAGUGAAAAACUGAGAAAAGCAUGCUUAACAUUUUUUUUAUAAGAUAAUCAUUUCAAAUCAAAAGUUUUAC
rnacentral:lncRNA from 1 species